GUGUCAGCAGCCGCGGUAAUACGAAGGGGGCUAGCGUUGUUCGGAAUCACUGGGCGUAAAGCGCAUGCAGGCGGAUUGUUAAGUCGGGGGUGAAAUCCCGAGGCUCAACCUCGGAACUGCCUUCGAUACUGGCAAUCUUGAGUCCGGGAGAGGUGAGUGGAACUGCGAGUGUAGAGGUGAAAUUCGUAGAUAUUCGCAAGAACACCAGUGGCGAAGGCGGCUCACUGGCCCGGUACUGACGCUGAGGUGCGAAAGCGUGGGGAGCAAACAGGAUUAGAUACCCCAGUAGUCC
rnacentral:rRNA from 1 species